CAACUGCGCCUGCAUUCAAAAAAUAUCGCAUGUGGCGACUACACAUCUCCACUUCACUGCCGGCGGCACCGACUCAUGAUGGUGUUUCGAUACUCAUUGGGCAGCGCUCUUGCGUCUCCUCCUCUGCACAUGAGGCACCUUGCACCGUGUGCGUGCUAGCUGGCUAUGUGCAGUGCGACGAUCCUAGUGUGGCCGAAGAGCAGAUAGAAAGUCUGGAGAACGUACUCCCGUUCGGCAUCGAGGUGUUGGGCUUUGCGGGCGGCACGGCUGCACUGACAUCUCUGGCAGCGGAGCUGCCUGAUUUGAAGAGGAAGGAGCUCAUCGAGGCUGUCGUGCCCAACGGAAAAAGACACCUCCCGCCCGCUUGCCGCAUGUUUGGUGCGCCUGCGAAAAAAGUGGAGGUUUCGGAAAGCGAUAUCGCCUUCGUUGAGGCUCGUUGUGCCUUGCACACGUACAACAGCACCUUGCCUUUACUGAUCUCCUGCUCCAAUGCACUUCCGCAGGUAGUGGACGGCGAGAGCUACGCUCCGUUGACGGCGCGUGCACCCUCGUCUUCGAGCAAAAUCGAGCUAAUCCAGAGUGGUGUGGUGCCGAACACUCUUCGCAUUCAUGUCGUUAUGGUCCCUUCGCUCAUGAGCGCUAGCGGGCUUUACGAGACUCUCUUCCGCCAGCUGAAGGCCGCUUGGACGUCCAGGACUACGCGCCUCAUCGAGCUCAACUCUCACAACGCUCACUUAUCCUACUGCUGCCGUCUCGAGUGCGAUGCCGACGCCCUUGACAGCACAGAUACCGUCACAGACGACGAGUGGGCAGUGGUGUUGGAGAUGAUGGAGGAUGCAACCGGACAAAGAGUCUCACGCGGUGAUGUUCGCGGUAUAAAACCACUCUUCCAACCCUGCAGGAAGAGCAAAACAUCUGCAGCGGAGGCAGCGAAGACGUCGCCUGCUCAGUUGCCUCACUUUCUCCUCCUCGGUCUGAUAGUUGUGAUCAUCUCUGUUGCUGUGCUGAUGCGAUGAGGCACGACAGCGGUGCUUUCUAUUCGAGGUAGUCUGCACCUUCUGUGGUGAGCAAGAUAGCACCCACCGUUGCGGAGUCAAGAAACACGGCGCCAAAACACAACCAAAGGGAGAAACAAAAAGUUCAUCAUCUCACCCUCAGGCGACACGCCGCAAGAGCACAAAUACUACUUGUAUAGUUGCCGCGGUUUUGCUUGCGUCUGUGGUGCCAAGGCAAUCGACACCAUUCCGCCUUUGUUCGCAAGCAGCAAGGUCAGAGCUGCAUGUCUCCCCCGUCUUUCCCCUUCCAUGGGAGACCUCUAAGCACUUCCUCUGACAGCAUCCCCCCUCUCUCUGUAUCCUUCGCAUUUGUGUGCGCCCCGUGGCCGCGCAG
rnacentral:misc_RNA from 1 species